GGUAACACUGAAUGGAGGACCGAACCGACUUACGUUGAAAAGUGAGCGGAUGAACUGAGGGUAGCGGAGAAAUUCCAAUCGAACCUGGAGAUAGCUGGUUCUCUCCGAAAUAGCUUUAGGGCUAGCCUCAAGUGAUGAUUAUUGGAGGUAGAGCACUGUUUGGACGAGGGGCCCCUCUCGGGUUACCGAAUUCAGACAAACUCCGAAUGCCAAUUAAUUUAACUUGGGAGUCAGAACAUGGGUGAUAAGGUCCGUGUUCGAAAGGGAAACAGCCCAGACCACCAGCUAAGGUCCCAAAAUAUAUGUUAAGUGGAAAAGGAUGUGGCGUUGCCCAGACAACUAGGAUGUUGGCUUAGAAGCAGCCAUCAUUUAAAGAGUGCGUAAUAGCUCACUAGUCGAGUGACACUGCGCCGAAAAUGUACCGGGGCUAAACAUAUUACCGAAGCUGUGGAUUGUCCUUUGGACAAUGGUAGGAGAGCGUUCUAAGGGCGUUGAAGCAUGAUCGUAAGGACAUGUGGAGCGCUUAGAAGUGAGAAUGCCGGUGUGAGUAGCGAAAGACGGGUGAGAAUCCCGUCCACCGAUUGACUAAGGUUUCCAGAGGAAGGCUCGUCCGCUCUGGGUUAGUCGGGUCCUAAGCUGAGGCCGACAGGCGUAGGCGAUGGAUAACAGGUUGAUAUUCCUGUACCACCUAUAAUCGUUUUAAUCGAUGGGGGGACGCAGUAGGAUAGGCGAAGCGUGCGAUUGGAUUGCACGUCUAAGCAGUAAGGCUGAGUAUUAGGCAAAUCCGGUACUCGUUAAGGCUGAGCUGUGAUGGGGAGAAGACAUUGUGUCUUCGAGUCGUUGAUUUCACACUGCCGAGAAAAGCCUCUAGAUAGAAAAUAGGUGCCCGUACCGCAAACCGACACAGGUAGUCAAGAUGAGAAUUCUAAGGUGAGCGAGCGAACUCUCGUUAAGGAACUCGGCAAAAUGACCCCGUAACUUCGGGAGAAGGGGUGCUCUUUAGGGUUAACGCCCAGAAGAGCCGCAGUGAAUAGGCCCAAGCGACUGUUUAUCAAAAACACAGGUCUCUGCUAAACCGUAAGGUGAUGUAUAGGGGCUGACGCCUGCCCGGUGCUGGAAGGUUAAGAGGAGUGGUUAGCUUCUGCGAAGCUACGAAUCGAAGCCCCAGUAAACGGCGGCCGUAACUAUAACGGUCCUAAGGUAGCGAAAUUCCUUGUCGGGUAAGUUCCGACCCGCACGAAAGGCGUAACGAUUUGGGCACUGUCUCAACGAGAGACUCGGUGAAAUCAUAGUACCUGUGAAGAUGCAGGUUACCCGCGACAGGACGGAAAGACCCCGUGGAGCUUUACUGUAGCCUGAUAUUGAAAUUCGGCACAGCUUGUACAGGAUAGGUAGGAGCCUUUGAAACGUGAGCGCUAGCUUACGUGGAGGCGCUGGUGGGAUACUACCCUAGCUGUGUUGGCUUUCUAACCCGCACCACUUAUCGUGGUGGGAGACAGUGUCAGGCGGGCAGUUUGACUGGGGCGGUCGCCUCCUAAAAGGUAACGGAGGCGCUCAAAGGUUCCCUCAGAAUGGUUGGAAAUCAUUCAUAGAGUGUAAAGGCAUAAGGGAGCUUGACUGCGAGACCUACAAGUCGAGCAGGGUCGAAAGACGGACUUAGUGAUCCGGUGGUUCCGCAUGGAAGGGCCAUCGCUCAACGGAUAAAAGCUACCCCGGGGAUAACAGGCUUAUCUCCCCCAAGAGUUCACAUCGACGGGGAGGUUUGGCACCUCGAUGUCGGCUCAUCGCAUCCUGGGGCUGUAGUCGGUCCCAAGGGUUGGGCUGUUCGCCCAUUAAAGCGGUACGCGAGCUGGGUUCAGAACGUCGUGAGACAGUUCGGUCCCUAUCCGUCGUGGGCGUAGGAAAUUUGAGAGGAGCUGUCCUUAGUACGAGAGGACCGGGAUGGACAUACCUCUGGUGUACCAGUUGUCGUGCCAACGGCAUAGCUGGGUAGCUAUGUGUGGACGGGAUA
rnacentral:rRNA from 1 species